GGAGGAGGAGCAGGUGGCCGACAUGGUGGCAUGGAGAGCUGGGCGUGGCAGACGAGGAGGCCACGCGAGGCAUGCGGCGGCCAGCUAGGGUUUGCUGCUGAAUUUUGCUGAAAAAUGUUUUAGAUUUUGGGCCAUUUGGGCUUUAGGAUUUUGAUUUGUUUGGGUUUGAAUUUUGGGUCAGAGUUUGGGUUUGUAAAUGGGCUGUUACUUUUGGGUUUAUUAUUUUUAUUUUGUUUUUGUUUUGCACUGGGCCCGGGCAAAAUGGGCUCAUACAGCUGCCCCUCUUUGCUCAUUUUCGUGUAACGAGAAUAGAGCAAAGACAUCAAAAGGGCCAAUUUUGCCCGGUCUUGCCGAGUCUUGACUUUUUGGUGCUCAUCUUCUUCAAAUAGCCUUAUUCCAACCUGCCACGUCUUGUUGCUUCGAUCCACUCUACUGCAACUUCAGAUACGCCUUGUAGCUUCAAUCUACUCUGCUAUGACUCCAUGGGGAUGAGAUUUGUGUUUUUAGUCUGCUCCACUACUGCUUAGGGAGAUAAGACUGAAUGUUGUUUUCUUCGAUCUAUUCCACUGUUGUCCAGGGAGAUAGAACUACCAGCUUCAAUGUACUCCACUGUAAUCAGGGAGGUAAAAUUUGCCAUCUUCGAUCUUCUUCGCUGCCAAAUACAGGAAGGCAAGAUCUGUAAUCUUCGAUCUACUUCACGCCAAAUACAUGAAGAUAAGAUCUGCUUUCUUCGAUCUACUUCGCCACCAGUAUGGGAAGACAAGAUCUGCAUCGUCAAUCCACUUCCUACCAAUAUAGGAAGACCAGAUCUGCUACCUUUGAUCUACUUCACGCCAAUACAUGAAGACAAGAUCUGCUUUCUGCAAUCUACUUCGCCACCAAUAUGGGAAGACAAGAUCUGCAUCUUCGAUCCACUUCCUACCAAUAUAGGAAGAUAGGAUCUGCUACCUUCGAUCUACUUCACGCCAAUACAUGAAGACAAGAUCUGCUUUCUUCGAUCUACUUCGCCACCAAUAUGGGAAGACAAGAUCUGCAUCGUCGAUCCACUUCCUACCAAUAUAGGAAGAUAGGAUCUGCAUCGUCGAUCUACUUCCUACCAAUAUAGGAAGAUAGGAUCUGCUACCUUCGAUCUACUUCACGCCAAUACAUGAAGACAAGAUCUGCUUUCUUCGAUCUACUUCGCCACCAAUAUGGGAAGACAAGAUCUGCAUCGUCGAUCCACUUCCUACCAAUAUAGGAAGAUAGGAUCUGCAUCGUCGAUCCACUUCCUACCAAUAUAGGAAGAUAGGAUCUGCUACCUUCGAUCUAUUUCACGCCAAUACAUGAAGACAAGAUCUGCUUUCUUCGAUCUACUUCGCCACCAAUAUGGGAAGACAAGAUCUGCAUCGUCGAUCCACUUCCUACCAAUAUAGGAAGACAGGACCUGCUAUCUUCGAUCUACUUCACGCCAAUACAUGAAGACAAGAUCUGCUUUCUUCGAUCUACUUCGCCACCAAUAUGGGAAGACAAGAUCUGCAUCGUCGAUCCACUUCCUACCAAUAUAGGAAGACAGGACCUGCUAUCUUCGAUCUACUUCACGUCAAUAUGGGAAGACAAGAUUUGUAUCUUUGAUCCACUUCCUACCAAUAUAGGAAGAUAGGACCUAUUUACGCCUAGUGUUUAGGAUGACAUGAUCAGAAUGAAUCAAAUGCUCCUAACUAGAUGUGUAAGUAUUAUAUUUGUAGAAUGUCAUGAGAAUGAUCCAUUUUUAAUGCUUAGGUUGUCAUUCCUCAUUGUUCAUCAAGGUUCUAUCACUGAUGCCUUCUUGUUCAGCCAGUUUGACAGAAAACCCAAAGAAAUAGACGCUAUUUAGACUAUCAUUUCUCAAAUGUUUCCAACCCUUAGGUUUGGUUAGUUCUAAACAAUAGUCCUGUUUCAGGUCCUCGUAUUAUUUAGAAACUUUCAGAGUAAUAUGCAGAACUCCUUCUGCAUGUGUAUUGUCAAUCCAUUAAUCGUUAUUUCAAGGAAAAAUGCUUGAAAGAUUAUCAAAAUGGACAAAAUAAAAUUUUGCUGAGAGCAAAGCUCGAAAUGAAUAAAUCAAUCAAGAUAGCAAACUUUGCUGAGAUAUGAUGAAAAAGAUUAUCACAAUGAAUAAGAUGGAAUUUUAUUGAGAGCAGAGCUCUAAAUGAACAAAUAGCAAAUUUUGCUAAGAUGUAAAUAAGAUAAAAAAAAAAGGUGCCCCAGAUAUCGCAGCGUGAGCUUCUCCGCACAAACUCUGUGUUUAGAAAUCCUAAAAGACUUUGUUGAUGCCCCAAGAUGUAGCAUCUCUCCUUCUUGUUAAUUCGGAGAAGACAAAACUACUCUAUGCCUCAACUUUGAUCGAAAAUUCGAAUUGCCCAUUCCUGGGUUUUCAAUUCAAAGCCCCUUUGGUCUCAAGGUGCCCUUUGCGGGUUUUCGCCUUGGCCUCUCCCCCUUUUUUUUUUCUUUUUUUUUUUUUUUAGGCAAAGUACCUCUUCACUGAAUCCGAAUUCACAGGAUUGGGCAAGCUUUUGCCAUCCAUCCCAGUUAAAAUUAAUGCCCCUCCUGAAAAGGCCUUUUUUACUACAUAAGGUCCCUCCCAGUUUGGCAUCCACUUUCCUCUGAAGUCCUUUUGUAUGGGAAGGAUCUUCUUCAGUACCAAGUCCCCUUCAUGGAAGUUUCUAGGACGAACUUUCUUAUUGUAAGCUCGCAUCAUUCGUUUCUGGUACAUUUGACCAUGACGGAUAGCUCUUAACCUCCUUUCUUCAAUCAAGUUCAGCUGAUCAUAUCGGGCUUGGACCCAUUCUGCUUCGUCUAACUUUAGUUCUGAAAAAACUCGGAGAGAGGGAAUUUCAACCUCAAUUGGUAGCACUGCCUCCAUUCCAUAAACCAAAGAGAAUGGUGUUGCCCCGGUAGAAGUCCUGACGGAUGUUCGAUAAGCAUAGAGGGCGAAUGGCAACUUCUCGUGCCAAUCUCUAUAGGUCUCAGUCAUUUUCCCUACAAUCUUUUUGAUGUUUUUAUUGGCUGCCUCCACCGCACCAUUCAUCUUCGGACGAUAUGGCGAUGAGUUGUGGUGCUUGAUCUUGAAUUGAUUACAAACCUCUGCUAUCGUGCUAUUAUUCAAAUUUAAUGCGUUGUCUGAUAUGAUCCUUUCAGGCAUUCCAUACCGACAUAUGAUUUCCUUCUUUAAAAACUUGCUGACAGCUGUCUUUGUGACGUUGGCGUAAGAAGUAGCCUCUACCCACUUAGUAAAGUAGUCAAUCACUACAAAAAUGAAACGAUGUCCAUUUGAAGCCUUUGGCGAUAUCGGCCCAAUGACGUCCAUGCCCCACAUGGAGAAAGGCCAUGGGGAAGUCAUGACGUGAAGAGGUGAUGGAGGCACAUGAAUUUUGUCUCCGUAAAUCUGGCAUUUAUGGCACUUCUUAGCAUACUUGAUGCAGUCUCCUUCCAUGGUAGACCAAUAAUAUCCAAAUCUCAUGAUCUGUCUGGCCAUUGUGAAACCGUUAGCGUGUGUUCCACAAAUACCAUCAUGGACUUCUUCCAAGAUCUGCUUGGCCUCCACAGCGUCUAUACAUCUUAACAGCACCUGAUCUUUUCCUCUUUUGUACAGGAUUUCCCCAUCUAAGACGUAACCACUGGCCAGCCUCCUCAACAUUCUCUUGUCAUUCUCAGUUGCUUGGUUCGGGUAUUCACAAUUUUUCACGUAUUGCAAUAUGUCCUGAUACCAAGGGUUGUCGUCCUUUUCUUCUUCCUCGUCAAUAUUACAACAGUGGGCUGGAGCAUCAUAAAUGCUCAUUUGGAUAGGCUUCACAUCCUCUGGUCUAUUUACUUUGAUCAUGGAAGCCAAUGUAGCUAAAGCGUCGGCCAUCUGAUUCUCGUCUCGUGGGAGAUAACAAAAAGUGAUGUCGUCAAACUCCUCAAUCAAUUCUAGGACUAUCCUUCGGUAACUAAUCAAUUUAGGGUCUCUUGUUUCCCAUUCGCCUUUGAGCUGAUAAAUUACCAAUGCCGAAUCCCCAUAUACCUCAAGUACCUUGAUUUUGCGUUCCAUAGCCGCGCGGAUUCCCAUGAUACAUGCUUCAUAUUCCGCCAUGUUAUUUGUGCAAUCAAAAUCUAGUUUACUGGUGAAAGGAUAAUGAUCACCGUUUGGAGAUACCAAGACUGCCCCAAUCCCGUUGCCCAUGGCAUUUGAGGCUCCGUCAAAAUUUAAUUUCCAAGUAUUGCCUUCUUGUGUGCCCGCUUCAGUAGUUGCCACAUACAUCAGAUCCUCAUUUGGGAAGUCAAAGUUCAAAGGCUCAUAAUCGUCCAGGGCUCUACUUGCUAGAAAAUCUGCUAUCGCGCUCCCUUUUACAGCCUUUUGAUUCACAUAGGUUAUGUCGAAUUCAGAUAGUAGAAUUUGCCAUCGGGCCAUCCUUCCGUUUAGAGCAGUUGACUCCAUCAUGUAUUUCAGAGGGUCUAACUUUGAGAUUAACCAAGUCGUAUGGUACAACAUGUAUUGUCUCAAUCUCCGAGUAGUCCAAACCAAUGCGCAACAUAAUUUUUCAAUUGGCGAAUAUCUCGUUUCGCAUUCAGUGAACUUCUUACUGAGAUAAUAGAUCGCUCUUUCUUUUCGUCCUGACUCAUCAUGUUGGCCGAGCACGCACCCCAUGGAAUUCUCAAAUACUGCCAAGUAUAGUAUUAGUGGUUUGUCAGGGCACGGUGGCAUCAGUACUGGGGCGUUGGACAAGUAAUGUUUAACUCUUUCGAAAGUCUCCUGGCACUCCUCAUCCCAUACACCUGGAUUGUGUUUCCUAAGAAGGCGGAAUAUGGGGUCACAUUUCUCAGUUAAUUGUGAAAUGAAUCGAGCGAUGUAAUUCAGUCUUCCUAGGAAACCCCGAACUUCUUUUUGAGUACUCGGCGGAGGUAAUUCUUGUAUGGCCUUAACUUUGUCUGGGUCAAUUUCAAUUCCCUUUUCGCUGACUAAGAAUCCUAGCAGUUUUCCUGAUCUAGCCCCGAAAGUACACUUGGCUGGGUUAAGUUUUAGCUGGAACUUCCUUAACCUCAGAAACAGUUUUCUCAGAACUUGCACGUGUUCCCUUUCUGUUCUGGAUUUUGCGAUCAUGUCAUCAACAUAAACUUCUAUCUCUUUAUGCAUCAUAUCAUGGAAUAAUGCUACCAUGGCUCUCUGAUACGUUGCUCCCGCAUUUUUCAAUCCAAAAGGCAUCACUUUAUAACAAAACGUCCCCCACAUCGUUAUGAAUGUGGUCUUUUCCUUGUCUUCAGAAAGCAUCUUAAUUUGGUUGUACCCGGAGAAACCAUCCAUGAAAGAGAACAGUGAGUAUCCGGCCGUGUUGUCUACCAAGGUAUCGAUAUGAGGCAGUGGGAAAUUAUCUUUUGGGCUGGCUUUGUUCAAGUCUCUAUAGUCCACACACAUUCGCACCAUCCCAUCUUUCUUAGGAACAGGGACUAUAUUGGCUACCCAUUCUGAGUACUUGACCACCUGUAAGAAACCAGCGUCGAAUUGCUUCUUGACUUCUUCCUUUAUUUUUAGCAAGACAUCAGGCCUCAUCCUUCGAAGCUUUUGUUGGACUGGUUUGCAUUCUUCCUUUAUAGGCAAUCGGUGCACCACGAUAUCAGUACUUAAACCUGGCAUAACUUGGUAGGACCAUGCGAAGACAUCUUUAAACUCUUGAAGCAACUCAACAAGGUCUCGCCUUGUUUCCUUGGCAAUGCAAGCGCCAACUUUUACCUCUCUGCCCUCUUCUAAGAUCACAACUUCUACUGACUCCUUAUAGGGUAGAAUUUGUUUUUCUUCUUCUUCCAUCAUUCUUAACAAAUCCGGAGAUAAAACGCUGUCUUGGUCACCUUCAAAAUCUUGAGGAUUAUCUAUACUCGUGUCUUGCUCAAAUAGAGACUCUGAAUUAGUAACAGAGUCGCUCAUCUCGUUGAUAUCUGAAGACCUGUUAUUGGAACAAAUGGAGGCCCAAAUAAAAGAAUCUAAGAAUACUUGUAUGCAUACUAUGAUUAUAAAGGGAAUGAAAAGAAUGAAAGAAUAUUUGCUCAAGAUGAAACUGAAUGAUAAGUUUUCACUGAAAUUAGAUUUUGGACAUGUGCCUUUUACAAAAGAUUCUUAUCACCCCCAGGCUUAGGGCAACAAGUGUUCUGAAUAUUACUCUGAAUUAGUUCUAAAUGUUACAGGGAUCUCUUCUGCAGUCCAGUUAUUCAAAACACUUCCAGGUUCGCAAGGACGAAUGCCCGAUAAAUUCCUUUCCACCCUUUCUUCCGCGGAUAUGGCAUUGAUGUCCAACCUCUCAAUCCUUCCUUCUGUAACCUCAUCCUUCUCUUCAGGGUAGACCAUUCCCCUUGAAACAAAAGUCUUAGAUAUAUGGGGAAAGGUCAUCGGUCCCCACUUGACUUCUAUCCCGCCCAAAUGUGCUCUUCUCUUUUCUUGCUUUUUCUCCAUCUCUUUCCUCCUUUCCCUUGCAUUAGGCUUAUAUCCCAAACCAUAACGGUCCUGUUUGUUAACUAGGAUCGGUACUCCAACCCUUCCCUGGAGGUAUUUUCCCAAUCCUCUUCCAGGCAAUGCUCCCUUUCCCAUCGUUAGUUGUAAGCUCAUUGACGUAGCUUUGGAUAUCUUAGGCUCUGGGAUUUUGCUCAUCUCGAUGACAAAUGUGGCAUUUACGAAUUCCAAUGAUCGGAAUGAACAUUCUAUCGCUUCACUAUCAGCCUCUAUGUAUGGCGUAUCAUCGGUGACUGAUGCAAUGAUGUCUUCUUCUGCACCUAUAGUCACCAAUCUACCCUCUAUCACCAACUUUAACUUUUGGUGAAGUGACGAGGUACAGCUCCUGCAGAAUGGAUCCAAGGCCUCCCCAAUAGGCAAUUGUAAGAUGGUUUAAUAUCCAUUACCAAAAAGUCCACCUCGUAUGUAUUUGGACCAAUCAAUAGAGGUAUCUCGAUUCUCCCCAUCACUUUUCUCUCAGUGCCAUCAAAUGCUCUCACUAUAUUUUGACAUGAUUUCAUGUGAGAACUAUCCACAGGUAACCUGUUUAAUGUGGACAGGGGUAAAACAUUCAGGGCCAAUCCAUUGUCCACGAGUACCGCCGGUAGUAUACACCCCUUGCAACGGGCAGUGAUGUGCAAGGCCUUGGUAGAUCCCAUACCACCUGGCGGGAUCUCAUCAUCGUUGAAGAAGAUGAAAUUAUCGGCAUUUAUAUUGUUAACCAGGCGAUCCAAUUUGCUCACUGAGAUAUCUUUAGCGACAUAGGUCUCAUUUAGCACUUUUACCAACGCAUUACGAUGUAUCUCUGAACUUAGAAGUAACUCGAGCACUGAGAUGCGAGCGGGUUGCUUAUGCAAUUGUUCCACCACGCUAUACUCGCUAUGCUUCAAGAAUUUUAGGAAUUCUCUAGCCUUAUUUUCAGUCACCGGUGUGUUAAUUUGCGGUUCAAUUCCGGUCUUCUUCGUUUUAUUUUGUUCAACCGCCAAGGCUUUUCCUUUUAUAAGUUCCCUUUUUGUAUUUCCCAGGUCGUAACGUUUUCCACUACGCGUAUAGAGACCUGCAUCAUUAGCCUCUUCUGAAGCAUUUAUCGGGUUCUCCUCUCCCGUGAUCAUCACAUUGCAGUCGUAAUUCCAAGGAACCUUUUUGCUAUCCUUGUAAGGAAAGGCUACAGGUUUUUGGAUUAUGACCCUUGGCGCCAGUUGUAUUCCAGAUCCUGUACUCGUUGGCCUUGAAAUAAUCACCACUGGGUGAUUUGGGGCCUUUCCCGUAGGCCCCUCCUCCGAGGCAUAAACUUCUCCAUUUUCAAGUCCUUUGAUCUCUUCAUAAAAUUCUAGCUCUUUGUUGUUCAUCAGAUUUUGCACCAUGGCCUUGAAUUCAGUGCAGUUUUGAAUGUCAUGAUCUUCUUCAACAUGAAACUCGCAGUACGUCUUCGUUCCUUCGGACCUUUCUUUUGAAUCUUGUUUGAUGAGACCUCCUUCUAUCAUUUGUCUCCAGACCCAACUCAAUGGGGUUUUUAUCUCUGCAAUGUCGGUUUUGAUUCUCUUUUUCUCACCUUCGAUUAUUACGUUUACCCCUUUAUCAGCAUGGUUGGGUAACGGAUUCGCUGCUACGUUGGGUCUUAAUGGGUCGUCAAACUUCACAAUCCCCAUCUUAAUGAACCUUUCCACCACCUUUUUAAACCCAGUACAGUUCUCAAUUGAGUGUCCUGGCAUCCCUGCAUGGUAUUCACAUUGGGCAUUCGUGUCAUACCAUUUGGGAUAUGGAGGUUGCAUGGGCUCGAGAUAAAAUGGAGAUACUAUGUGUGCAUCAAAUAACUUCUGAUACAGUUCCCCGUAUGUUAUUGGAAUGGGCGUGAACUGAAGUCUCUCUGUGUUAGUCCUUGUGUUGGGCCUUGUGUUGGGUUCCUGCCUCGAUGGGGCUUGGUGACUAGUGGUUAUCAUUUUUGGAGGGCCAACGGUAAUCGGUUUUGAAUGGCUCUUGCUAUAUGUGCUUACGUUGUUUACUUCGCCCUCUUUUUUCCUUGGGGCUGGUCUUUUGAAGUUUUCCCCCGUGUCAAUCUUACCGCUUCUUACCGCAUUCUCAAUCAUUUCACCAGACAUUACCAUAUCCGAGAAGCUCUUGGUAGCACUCCCCAACAUGUGGUUGAUGAACGGGGCUUUCAAAGUGUUGAUAAACAACAUGGUGACCUCUUUUUCCAAAAGGGGCGGCUGGACUUGUGUUGCCACUUCUCUCCAUCGUUGGGCGUACUGCCUGAAAUUCUCGCUAGGCUUUUUCUCCAUGUUUUGUAACGUAAUUCGAUCGGGUGUUAUAUCCGUUACAUGACUGUAUUGCUUCAUAAAAGCUUGCGCCAAGUCUCUCCAUGAACUAACUCUAGCACGACUCAGUUGGUUGUACCAUUUGGCUGGAGAUCCGAUCAAACUGUCCUGGAAGCAGUGGAUUAACAGCUGAUCGUUGUUGACAUAUCCUGUCAUUCUUCGACAGAACAUAGUUAUAUGAGCUUCAGGACAACUAGUCCCAUUAUAUUUUUCGAAUUCCGGCAUUUUGAACUUAGGUGGGAGUACUAAAUCAGGGACCAAACUCAGAUCCUUGGCGUCAACCCCGCGAUGAUAGUCGAUGUUCUCCAUGACUCUAAAUUUUUCCUCUAACCAUCUACAUCGGUCCUCUAGUUGUUUUGGCAGGUUCAUUCUUGUUUUUUCUGUUUCUGCCACAUCAUCGAGGUCUGGGACCACAAGAUUAGUGGGAUUAUCCCCGGGAUUAGAACCCGAGCCCAUUUGAAAAUGCAAUGGUACCGAGGUACCAGCCAGACAUUGAGGUCUAAUGGUAACCGGUACCCUCUGUGGGUACACCUCUGGUUGUGCUUGAAUGUUAGUUUGGGUGAAACCUGGAGGAUAAAUAGGGUCAUCGUGAUCUUCCCCCGCAUCGACUACGGGGUCUUUUCCUUUAUUUCCUCCAGCCAAUAACUGCUUUAAUUGGUUCAUCACAGUGUUCUGGGAUUCUAACAUGUCUUGCUGGAUUUUUUCCAGUCGUUCAUGCAUCUGAUCUUGCAUCUCUCGUUGCAACUGUUCCAAUCUUUCCAUCCUUUGAUCCAUUGCUUUUGUUUGGCGACGAGUACCGUAGUGAUAUUUGAUUAGAUUUUUGUUGGUUUCCAGGGUAACUGUCAUAAUUUAAUUUUAUUAGGGUCAUUUUAUGAGAUGUAAUGCAAAUGUAUGAGAUGAAUGCAAAAGAAAAAAAAGAGGCAUUGAUUCGAAUUCAAUUUCAUUAGAAAACUCAACUAGAAAGCAAAUUUCUUUACAUAAAAUAAAUUACAUAUACGGCUUCGCCUUUAUACCCAAAGCCUUAACCUUCCUAAGAAGCCAAGCUAAAUCUCGACCUCGGCUUGAUUCUGACUCAUAUUUUAAACUCAAUACAUCGGCCUGGACUGCUAAUGUUUGCAGAUGAUCAGCCACUUCCCGCACUUGAGUCACAGCUUCGCCCAUAACGUAAUCUCUAUCUCUAAUCUGCCUUUGAGAAUGAUGGAAUUACUCUUGCCAUUGAUCAUUACUCCUCUCAAGAAGCUCCAUUCGUAGCUCAGAAUUGUGUAAUGCGUCCUCAAGCUCCUCUACCUUUUCUUUCAGUUCUUCGAUCUUAUUUAAGCUUGCUCUUAGUUCGAUCAUGGAGUUGCGACUACGGUACGAGUGAAGUGACUUUUCUAGCUCUGUCACUUUGGCCUUUAAUCCUGCCUUCUCAUUUCGGCACUCUAACAAACUCCUUUCCAAAGCGUUUUCUCGAGCUCGAGCAUCUUGAAAUUUCUUUUCCCAUUGAUCGGCCCUAUUCUUUUCCUCAUUGAUCUCUUGUCGCCACUGCUCUGACGUUUUACCCAGACCGACAGUUCUCAUCGACAACCGCAGCUUCUUGUAAUCUGUUUUUAGACUAUCAAAUCCUCUUCAGCUUUGUUCUUUCCCUUCCUUAAUUUCUCGGCUUCUAGCUUGUGGAUAUCGAUGUCUAAUCCCAAAUGCACUCUUUCUUCUUCUAACUGUUCUAUCCUCUUUCCCAACUCAGAAUUUCUUUUCUCAAAGUCUCGUUUGAUGAUCUCUAAUUCUGACGGAACUACUUGUAGAUGCUCCUCUAUAGACUGAACGCAAUCUUCCCUCGGUUUAGGGAUGUUGUCAUUGACUCUUUUACUCCACCACCCAUAAUAUUCUGAAGUUGUCAUCGCUCCUACGGUGAAUCUUUUCAUUCGGUGAACCUGUUUCCAAGCGUUAGAUAUUUCUCGAGUUUUUUUCUUGUAGUUUUCAUCCUUAUAAGAAAACUCACAUUGAGCCAGCCCUUGUGUUGCUGGUAUGAACUGUCUCGAUCUAUAUUGUCUUAAUACGAGUAAAGGGGCAUAACCGACAGCUCCCCAAAUUCCGAGUAAAGGGACCCAGUUGAAAUCCCCACAUCGAUACAGGAUCUCGUCGGGUACCAUCCAAGGAGCUUUCCAUUCAACGUCAUCCUCCUGAAGGUUUUGGAGAAUCGUCAUCCACUUCUCUUCCGUGAUGUCGUCUCGUCUUGGUGUAGCAACUUGUUCCUUCAAUGGGGAAUAGUCUUCUGAGAAGACUCGAUAGGAGACAUUUUCCACCUUCCAAAAGUGACUAUGGAACCACACCAAUAGUAGCUGUGCGCAUCCGAUGAACCUUCCCUCCCCUGCUCUUCGACAUGCGCUUAGAGAUCUGAAGGUUUCUGCUAAGAUUGCCGGGAUGGGCGUGACUCCCUUACUAAGCCGAUCGAACAAAUCAGAGACGGCCUCAUCUACGUGCCCUAAAGCUCUAGGGAAAAUUACCAAACCAUAGAUACCUAGAGUGAAGACAUCCACUCUUUUCUUCACAUCAGGGUGUGCUAAUACUAAAUCUCGCAAGCUUUUCCAAGGAACGCAUUUACUGUCUCCUUUCUGUUGGAUUCGGGCAGCGACCCACUGUUCGCUCAUCCCCGUAAUACUCAUCAAUUUUUUUAAUAAUGUUGGGACACUAGCAGCUCUAGAGUAGGCCUUGUCAAUUUAAAUCUUUGGACACCGAAGCAAGGUCGUAUAUUCUUCCACGGUGGGCACCAAGUCCACUUUUCCAAAAGUGAAACAACUGUAAGCAGGAUUCCAAAACUGGGCUAGGGCUCGGAAUAAAUGCUUGUCCACUUUGACACCAAGUAGGUGAGGCAAGUCCCCGUAAUCACAGUAAAACAUCUGCUUGGUCCCGUCGUCCCAUUGAUCCCAUAUUUCCUUCAUUUCUCGCAGAUCAUUUUGGACUACGCUGAUACGGGUGAAGUCCCAUAACUCUGAUACGUACCCUUCUGCAAGACUAUCGCCUUUCUCUCUCCACAUCGUCUCAGCCCAUAAUCGUACAGCUGCAUUGUCUUCUACUUUAUCAAGAAACCUCUUUUCCAUGAUAAGCUUUCUAUCUAUACUGAACGUGAAUCGACACCUCUUUUGAAAUGAAAAUGCCAUGCAAUCACAAACAAAGCAAAUUAGAUCUAGGAUUUAAAAUAAACAAUAAUAAAUAAAGCAUCUAUUCGGUAAGCACUAGGGUCUGGAAUAGCUCUAUCUCGGUGGGUUCUUAUGGCUCGCUAUGUGUGGUUUGGUUCUAAAGUGAGGGUACCUGAACCAGCAGAUUCCUCGAUCCUCACCCAUUAUAGGCUCAUAUGGACCGAGUUCAGUUCAGGGGAAUACAUUUCCCUAUGGCUAUGCGGAGAUGAAAAUCUCACGAAGACAUAGGUACGGAUGUAUCCCGGAAGCGAUUCACUAUCCCAUGCGGAGGUGAAAACCUCACGAAGGCGUAGUUUCUCACUCCCACUUAAAAGGUGUGACCAACGGUCAUGCAAUGGAAUGUGCGGAGGUAUAAAAUAAAAUACAGAACACGAUAAAAAUGUAACUCAAAACAAAAGAGAUGAGAGGAUCGUAAAUCUAAAUCGAAUUUUCAACUUUUGACAAAAAGACAAGAAAUAAUCAACACGUGGCUUGACUCUCUUAUCGUCCCCAGCGGAGUCGCCAAGCUGUUGACACCAUUUUUUGGAUGAAAACGGGGUCGACUUGGAUUUAAAAAAAGAAUGAAAACGGGAGUCGCCACCAAUCCUUUUUUGACGAGGUGUGAUCGGGUCACCUCAAAAAGUGGUUGUUUUUAAUAAAUGAUUUAAUUUUAUUAAAACAACGAUUUUGGUCUACGAAAUUCAGAAAAAUGAGUUCGGGAGCCGGUUACGCACGAGGAAGGAUUAGCACCCUCGAUACGCCCAAAAUUGGUACCUAGUUGAUUAAUUAGUGUCUUAGUGUCGAAAAUUAAAAAUUUGAAGAGUUUUAAAAAAAUACGAUCCUUAAAAGAAAAUCUGAUAUCGCGAAUUGGAACAUAAGAUUCUCUUGUUCCGAAGGAAUAUCACGUCCAGCACGUUAGGACACGAUACUCUAAACCAUCGGAACUAAGAUCACCUUAUAGUUUAAUGAAACCAUACUUUGAAGCUUUAAGAGGAUAUUUGGCUAUUUAGUCAAACGAGAAAUCGAAACCCAGCACGUUAGGGCACGUUUUCUCGAGUUUCCAAACGCGAAAUAUUGCCUUAUUUAGAAAAAUUUUCCUUUUGGUGUUUAGUGUCAAUGCUUGACAAAACAAUAACGAAUACGACAAGGUGAGCAAAGUAAAGUGAGUAACAACAAUGCAAUAGGCAAAAUGAAAUGACGAGGCGAUUACAUAAACAAAGCAUACAAAUAAAUAAAUAGAACUAACAUUUAAAAAAAGCACAAGUGUACACGAAUAAAUAAACAAACACCAAAUAACAAUGAUGACAAUAAAUACAAUUAUGUAAAAAUGUAUAUGCAUAUAUAAUUUUAAGCCAUAAAAUAAGAAAUGCAUAUAAAUUAUAGAAUAUGAAAACAUAGAUAAAUAUAUACAUAUAUGUGUAAAAAAUAAUAUUAUAAAAAAAGGGUACGUAUACAUGUAUAAAAAAAAUAAAUGUAUUAACAAUGAAUAUAAUAAGGGUAAGAAAACAAGUAUAUACACAAUAUAUAUGUAACGUGGUACUAAGGACAUAUAUAUAUAUAUACAAUACAGUAUUUAAAAUAAUAUUUACGUAAUACAAAAUAUAAUAUUAAAAGGUAUAUGUACAUACGUAAUAUAUAAAUACAUAUAUAAUAUAAUGUUAAAAUAUUUACAUAAUACUAAAAUAUUUAGGUAAUAUAUGCGUAUAUUGAAAACUAGUAAUAAUAUUACCGAGGUAUAUACAAAUAUAUCAAGUAUAUAUACGUAUUAUAAAUAUAUAAAUAUAUAACAAAGCAUAAACUAAUAAAAAUAAUAAGAAUAAUAAUAAUGAUAACAUUGGAAUAUAAAAGAAACAAACAUAACAUUAAUAAAAUAUUAAAAUAAAGUGAAAUGAAAAAUGUUAAAUACAAAAAUAUAUGUGUAUACAUAUACGUAAUAAAAAUAUACACUAGUACAUAGUUAUAAUAAUAGUAAUACUAAUAAUACUAAUAAUAUCAAAAUAACAAGGAUAUUUGAUAAAGAUACAAAAAUAAACGAAAAAAGGAUUAAAAUCGAAUUAAAAACAAAGUUGUGGGGCCAAUUUGAAAUGAAAACAAAGAAAAGGGACUUAAUUGUACGCGCGUGAAACGUUGGGGGACCGAAACAACAAUUAUUCCUUUCCUUUAAAACGCAGCACAUUGGCGGGGACUAAAUCGAAAAGCGCGAGAAAUUAUAGGGCCAAAUUGAAAACCAUAAAAAACUUAAUUGUGAAGCAUCAGAAAAGCGGAAGGACUGCGCGCAUAAAUAUCCCAUUCAAAUGAAAACACGCGGAUCCUCUAGCGGGUCGGGUCGGAUGGGUCGGGCAUGGCCAAAACGACGUCGUUUUGGGGCUUAAGUGUAGCCCCCAAAACGACGUCGUUUUGGAGGGCUAUAUAAGGCCUAAACUAACCAAAAAAAUCAUUUGGGGAGAGGGAAAGAAAAAAAAAGAGAGAAGGGAGAGAGAAGGGAGGGGAAUCCGGCCAGGGGCCGGUCACCGGACGGCCACCGGAGGCUCGCCGGCGCCGGCGCCGGCCACCGCACGCGGUGGCCGGAAAAGGUAAAAAAAAUAUAUUUUUUUUUAUUUUUUUUGUUAUUUGUUCUUGGUCUUAGAAUAUAUAGAUUUUAGGUUUAUAUUAACUUCAAAAAUGUAUAGAUAUGUAUAUAGAAAUCGAAAAAAAAGUAACCUUUUCCGUUUGCCUUUCCUUUUUUCCGAAUGCUUGCUAUCUCAGAGAUCUAUGUAUUUUUUUUUUAAACUCUAACUUCUGUUUUUUUUGUAUUCAAAUGCCGAAAAAAAACAAACAAAAAAAAGAAGAAGAACCCAAAAAAAACCCCUGUUUCCGUUUUUCAUUUCGGGUUUUAUAACCCAUUUUACAUCCUUUUUCUAUUAUUCUAUCCUGUUUUUUGUCUUGAUCUUGCAGGGUAUGGAGGUGCUGGUAGUGGAGGAGGAGCAGGUGGCCGACAUGGUGGCAUGGAGAGCUGGGCGUGGCAGACGAGGAGGCCACGCGAGGCAUGCGGCGGCCAGCUAGGGUUUGCUGCUGAAUUUUGCUGAAAAAUGUUUUAGAUUUUGGGCCAUUUGGGCUUUAGGAUUUUGAUUUGUUUGGGUUUGAAUUUUGGGUCAGAGUUUGGGUUUGUAAAUGGGCUGUUACUUUUGGGUUUAUUAUUUUUAUUUUGUUUUUGUUUUGCACUGGGCCCGGGCAAAAUGGGCUCAUACAGUGAGUAUGCGAAUGCUCUCAAGACAUAGAGUAAUUGUUAGAUCUAGCACCGCAAAGUGGUAAGUAAGUUCGUGUGACAUUUUAGCGUUCUUCAGAAAAAUGGGCCAGAUGGGCCAAAACUAGGCCCAAUGGGCUUACGGACCAAUAAGGGUAAUAGAUGGGCAAAGUAGCGUGUUUGUUAGAUGGUGGGACCAAUUGCAUAAAACGGCUAAAAAUUACUGAAAUAACUUGUGUAGUUGCGUAAGUACGAAAUUACCCCUAAAAAGCAUAAUUACCGAAAUACCCCUAUGGUUUAAAUUGGCUAAACUGCAUGAUUGAUUAAUACUGUAUUUUACAUGAUAUGCUUUUAUUAAUAUCUGUUGUAUGGGAUUGGGGUAUUGAUGGAGGAAGUAUUGAAAGUGGUUCAUCCACGUACUGGAGGCUUUGCCUCAAGUUGCUGAUAUUUGAGCAGCGUUGCUGCAACUGUGGAGUGUAGGGCUGGGUGGGUUGAGAUAUUCCCCACAUGGAGUGUAGGGCUGGUACGGGGCAGUGUAGCGGUUGGUGGGUUGAGUAGUCUCCCCAGUUGGGCUUGCAUUCAUUACUACUAUGGUUACUUAUGUUACUGAAUUGGGCCUAUGGGCCACACUGUUAUGUUAAAAAGGGCUAAGGCCUUGCUACUGUAUUAUGAAAAGGGCUUCGGUCCACUGUGUACUGUUAUCUGAAUAGGGCUUAGGCCCAAUGGGCUCGAGCUGAUUUGGGCUUUGGAUGGGUUUCUGUAUACACUGAGUUUUCCCAAGCUCACCUCUUCCUCUUCCAUCCUUGCAGGUGAGCCCUAGUUGGUGGACUUGGAGUUGGGCGGGAUUCACAGUGGCCAUGAAGAGUGAUUGCCGAUUUUAAAUAAGUUUAGCAUUUAAUUUGGAUUAUUUUUAUUAUGCUUAAAGUUGUAAUACGGCCGCUCUUUUUAAUUAAUUUUAUUUUGAGGAUUAUUAAACUGGUUAGCACUAGGGUUCGUUUUAUAAAAUCUACUUGUUUUUAAAAGAUCACGAUGACGCGCAAAGUUUCCGCAAAGUAAAUUUUUUUCCAAGAAAAUAAAUAUUUUAAGCAAACGUUUUUCAACCUUAAUCAUUUUCUUAAGAUGGACAUAACCAAACAGUUUUCUCAAAAUUAUACGAGAUGUUAGAGUGUGGCAAUGGUGGUGUGCAUGUCUAGGAUUGGAUCCGAAGGGAGCUUGGUACUUAAGCAGUCCGACGGACUCAGCUCCUCUUCUUCCUGGUUUCCUACCUGGUGCACAGUUUCCGUUCACUUUAACCUACUUUCAAAAGUGUCUUAUACAACACCAACUAAGUUUUCCAAACUAAGUAAUACGAAAUGUUUUGAACGCAUCGAUGUGGCGUAUCAGAUCCGGUCAUAACGUCUAGGCCAGGUUUGGGGUGUUACAUCUUCCCCUAUGGUGACUAGUGUGGAAGUUUAGAUGAUUAAAAGCCGAGAUGUAAAAGUUGCAACAAGUUUUAUUUUGGAGAAUGCCAAAUGAGGAGCAGAGCAUGCUAUAGAUGUGGUUCUCUUGACCACUUCCUUAGAGAUUCCCCGGAGCAAGAUGAUAAAGAGAUUGAAUUAGCUCCAAAGCCGAAUGCCCCUAUUCUCAAGGUAGACCUCCACGCCAUCCUGGAAGUGUAAGUGGCAGUCGAAUUGUGGCCAAGCAUACUACAGUAAAAUCAGAGGCUCAAGCCCCAACGAGAACUUAUGCAAUGCGCGUUAGAGAGGAAGCCUCAACUCCUGAUGUUAUUACGGGCAUAUUUUUUACCUAUGAUACUCAUGUUAUUGCCUUGAUUGACCCAGGAUCGACCCAUUCAUACAUUUGCCCAAAAUUAGUGUCUAGCUUGAACAUGUCUGUGGAACCAAUAGAAUUUCUAAUUAAGGUGUCAAACCCUCUAGGCAAGUUUGUAUUAGUAGAUAAAGUUUGUAAGAAUUGUCCUUUGACGAUUCAAGGUCAUUUUUUUCUGGCUGACCUUAUGCUUUUGCCUUUCAAUGAGUUUGAUGUAAUACUUGGCAUGGAUUGGUUCGCCAUUCACGAUGUGAUAGUAAAUUAUGGUAGCAAGUAUACUGAAUUGAAAUGUUCUGAUGGCAAGAUUCUUCGAGUUGAUUCAAGUGAGUUGAAUACACAAUCGGUUGUGAUUACUUUAAUGAGGUCUCAAAAGUAUAUGAGAAAAAGGUAUGAAGCUUACCUUGCUUUUGUACUGAAUACUAAAGAACCGGAGUUGAAGAUUGAGUCUGUACCGAUAGUGUGUGAAUAUCCGGAUGUGUUUCUGAAAGAGUUGUCUAGUUUAUUUCCUGUUAGAAAAGUAGAGUUCAGUAUUGAGCUAGUGCCAGGAACAACACCUAUUUCUAUUGCCCCGUAUAGGAUGGCACCAACCGAGUUGUAAGAGUUAAAAGCACAGUUGCAAGAACUGACAGAUAAGGGUUUUGCAAGACCAAGUUUUUCACCUUGAGGUGCUCCCGUAAUAUUCAUGAAAAAUAAAGAUGGUUCGAUGAGAUUAUGUAUAGACUACCGACAACUAAACAAGGUAACCAUCAAGAACAAGUAUCCAUUGCCUAGGAUUGAUGACUUGUUUGAUCAAUUGAGGGGAGCCUUUGUGUUUUCUAAGAUAGAUCUGAGAUCCGGUGAUAUGCUCGUCACGAUAAGUUUUAAAAUUUAUAAUUAAUUGUUCUUGAAACUAACUAUUAUCACGAUGAAGGAAAGCGUACCUAUCGAACAGUAGUCUAGCUUUAGCAAGACUAGAUUGUCGAACCCAAAGGAACCAAGAGUACCAGUAAUUACUUUCUUUUUACUAUCUAGCCUAAAAAUUAAGGGAUUUGUUUAUCUAAACUAAUUAACUAAACUAAGGGUACACAGAGAGAAAAUUGGGGAAAAGCUUUUGGGAAAACUCGAUUGAUUAAGACAAUACCCAAAGAAAAAUCCACCUAGACUUCACUUGUUAUUUGACUCUGAAUCAGAUGAUUUAUUCAUUUGACUUGAUCCGUAGAAAUCCCUAAGUUAUAUUAUUAUCUCUCUCAAGACUAAUAACGUCUAACCUUAGGUUGAUUAAUUUAAAUCUCUUCCUAAUUAACACCCUAGUGUUGCAUUAACUUGAUCUGUGGACUCCCUUAUUAGGUUUCACCCUAAUCCAGAAAAAUCUUGUCACCCUAUCUCUAGGCGUGCAAUCAACUCCACUUAAUUAUGACAAAUUUACUCUUAGACAAGGACUUUUGCUCCUCUGAAUAAGUGCAUUAACUUGAAUCAAUAUCCUAGAAUAUUAAAACAAGAAUUAAGAACACAUAAUUAAGAACAAAUCAAAUAUUUAUCAUACAAUUCAGAUAAUAAUAACAAGAUCUGUCUUAGGUUUCAUUCCCCUUAGGUAUUUAGGUGGUUUAGUUCAUAAUUAUGAGAGAAAACAUCUCAAAAGAAUAAAGAUAAUAAAACAUAAAGAAAACCUAAAAUCCCUAAAGGAAAUUGAAGGAGAUUCUCAAUCUUGACGAUGAAUUCAGCUUCUGAGAUGGAUCAAUCGGCUUUCCUUGAGUAAUUCCUUGCCUCCCACUCUGUGUCUCUCUUCUAAGUGCCUCAUCAGGUGUUUAAAUAGGCUUUAGAAUGCCUAAAAGUCCUCAAGAGUGGCCUUUUUCGAAUAGAACUAAACUUGGGCUCGACAGGGACACGCCCGUGUGUGAUUUCUUCAAUCAUGUUCAAGGCUGUUACAUAGGCACGGGCGUGUGGUCUAUCCGUGUGAGGAAGUCCAGGCCGUGUUGAUUUUCCAUGUUGGUCCAUUUUCUCUGUUUUCAGCCUGUUUCUCGCUCUUUUUACUCUCCUAUGCUCACCUAAGUAUAAAACAUUAAAUUAAACGAUUAGGAGCAUCGAAUUCACCAAAUCUAAAGAUAAUUCAUCCAAAAAUGUGCUAAGCAUGGGAUAAAAAUAUGUAUAAAUUAUGGUUUGUGAAAUACCCCUACACUUAAGUGUUUGCUUGUCCUCAAGCAAAAUCCUCAACUCAUAAUCAAAAUUUAUUUUUCUCAACUUAUAAUUCCUAUCAAUAAUAUCUCAAAAUAAACCAUAAGUAAUCAUACAUUGAGAAUUCAACUAGAAGAACAUCAAAGUUUCAAACAUUCCAAGUUGAGCAUUUUAUCGCGAAAACAUAGGUGUCUCCCCUCAUCUAAGUGAUUACCUUUGAUUCAAAAUAUCACAAAAUUUAACAUCCUCACUAAAGAUUCACUCAAAUCACUUGAGGUGUUUAAGAACAAUAAAUGAAGCACUCAUUAGUCAAUAUGAAAAGUUAUUACCAUAGGCUUGCGUGAAGAUCAAAUCUCCACCACUAUAAAUUGAGAUGAUACAUAAAUCAAAAGGUCUUUUAGAAGGUUGUAACUUGGCUUUGGUUAAGGGGUGUGGUCACAAGCUGAAAAAGAAGGUUAGAAUCAAGAUUGAAUUGAAAAAUUACCUAACUAGAAAAAUACUACAACAUGAUAAAUUACUUUUCUAAUUAGAAAAUCCUAGAAUUGAGCUUUUCUUCAUGGGAUAAGGAAUUUAAAUAUUUAAGCUCAAAAACAAAGAAUUACUACUAAUAUGUAUGUAUGUAUGACUAUUUUUUUUAAGAACAAAUCAGAUAACAUAGGCUAGCUAUCAAAAAUAAAACAUAGCUAAGCAAUUUAUUCAAAUCAAAUCUCGACAAAAAUAGGGAUCAAAUUAAUUUAGGGGAUUUCAACAAUAAUGGGUUAUGGGUUAAUAUUGAGGGUAAAUCAAUUAAUGGCUUGUUAGGCUCAAAGGGGUUCAUUAAAGGUUAAUUAUGAGGGUAGGUUGUUAUGGAGUAAGUGGGUUAAACUUAAGUGCCUUUAUCAUCUUGACACAUCAAAUCAAUGGCGUGGUCUUGACAUGCAUAAUCAAGCAAGUUCUAGAAUAAUGAUUCGAUAUUAACGUACUCAAAGCAACAAUAAAAGUGAGCAUGAAAGAAAUAAUAGAUGCCCUAAAGGCUCAAGAUCUCACAAAAAUUAUGGCUUUUUUUUAUGUUUAAACCUGUGAACUUCAGCUAAAGAUAAUACCUAGACUUGGGGAAACAAUCUAAAAAUUUUUAAUUCUCAAAAAUCAACUUAUCUUGCUUGAUUCUCUAAUUCCUUAAAGUUUAAAUAAUCAAUGCAUAAAUGCCUAUGUUUUAAUUUAAGACAUAUUAAUAAAAAAUCAUAAAUUAAUCAAAAUUUAUUCUAAUGAUGAUAUGAGAAAAUUAUUUGAGAACAAGAGAAAAUUUAGGGAUUUUCUGAUAAUGAUAUAAAUUACCCCCCACACUUAAGACGUACAUUGUCCUCAAUGUACAAUGAUAGAUAUACUAAAAAAUAUAGAUAUAUAAUCAUCAGAUAGGGAGAGAAGUGAAACUUCCUGAAUGAUGAAUGGACUCCUUGAAUUGGAGUUAUGGAGAAUAAUCGGCUAAGGCAAUGAUGAGAGUGGAGGAGGAUACUCUGGUGGUGGUAGUGGUUGAUUAGUCCAUAAGUCCUGCACCAAAAGAAUAUUAUAUCUAGUAGUAGCUAUGGUCGUGGUCGAGCAGGACAUGGCAGUCGUGGAGAACCUUUUCCAGUGGAGUGUUAAGUUUCAAAGUGAUGAUGAGCUUUGGAGCUCUUUAUAACUAUGAUAAAGUCAAGAACUCUUUAGGAAAUAUAAGGAAGCAUAAUUACUCGUAAUGAAAUAGCCGAAACUAUAAAUUGUUCAAUAAAAAUGUUAAAACCUAAAAAUGAAAUAGUAUUAAAGGAAAGUAAAAUAAAAAGUAUUUUAAGAAGAUAAAUAAAGAUAAAAGUGAAAAUAAAAAUAAUAAAAUAAAAAGUUUUUAAACAUCGUCAUCACCGGAUGGUUCGCGAGAUGGUGGUGGCGAUAAAAUGUGAAGGUGCUGACAAAUCUGAUAAAGAGUAGCAUCAAUAUGAUCAAAGCGCUGAAAACACUACUACUCAAAUAGAGUAAGACACUCAGAGAUGUCAGAGUAUGAAGCCGCCGCAUGAACUGGACGAUGGAUGGGUGGUGGCUCAGAUGGUGGGUCCUCGUGUCGUGUAGGGACAUCAUCAGGAAUGUCCUCUGGAUUCUCCUGCUCAGCUGACUGGAUGAAGCGGUACUAAGGAGGGUCGCUGCUACGUCGUCGCUCGAUCAUCCUCAUAUGAAACAUGCUCAAGAUUCCCUGUGGGGACAUCUGGCCAACAAGGGUGAUGGAGGAUGAUUGUGCUACCGUGUUGAGGAGCCUGAAGUACCGUGCCAGUCUAGUCACAUAGGGGCCAAUGGAGAUGACUCAUCUCCUAUGCUGCUCCAUCUGAUGGCGGAUGGCGAGGACAAUGAAAUAGGCAAGGUUAAAGACGUGCUUGUUCGCCAUGCUCCACAAGAAAUAGGCGUCGUGAGUGUUGACGACGCUGAUGCUCUCUCACCUUCUUGUCAGAGUGUGGGCCAAGAUGGUGUGUAGGUACCGCAGAGAUGGGGCGAGGGCUGAUGCCUUAGAGCGACUAGGAUCAUAGGUGGCUGAGUCAGGGACUAAAGCACUCCAACAUUUCGAAGGAAAAUAGUAGACAUGACGAUGGAGGGUGUCGAGUUCGUUGUCAUCCAUGAACUCCUCCGUGUACAGUACCAUUGUGAUUCCAAAUUUAGGUACGCUCAACUGGCGAACCAAACCACCGAGGUGAAAUUGGACCGUUCUUGGAUCAUCAAACUCUGUCAUAACAAUUUGGAAGUGAAAGGUCGAACAGAGUUCCAGAGUAAGCUCGAGGUACGUCAGCUCGAUGAUCCCAAAGAAGAGCUCCCAUGGAUAAGUUGACAGAAGGGCUCUGACUCCGUCAGCCAGUUGGACUUGUUCAAGUGCGGCCCAGUCAAUGUAGCGGCCCACACCUAAGGGUCGAGCCAAAAGUAUCUGAAAGAGUUUUUCUUGGGGUCCCAAGAGAAACUAAAUAAAGGGGUGCCUGAUCUCCACGGUAGGACCCGAGGAUGACGCUGCUCCUUUCCUCUUCUUUGAAGCGGGGAUAGUGGUUUCCUUACCAUGAUUUGACAUGAUAUCUGCAAUGGCAAAACGAAAUAAAAAUAAAAUUACUCCCUAACAAUAGCAUGGAAAAAUAUGCAAUGCAUGUUAGAACUAAAUAGAGAUACUUCAUAGGAGUCAUGUAUUAAAGACAAUUAUGCUGAAAGAUAACCCAAUUAGAUAUUUUACGUCAUUACUACGAAUAGGAAUGCGAGAAUAAUGCCUAGUGAGUGGAUGCAUAUGGGAAUGAUAAUAUAGGAAAUAGAUUGAAGUCCAUGGCAACACAAGAAUGAAUGUACCAUAAUCCAUCAACUAGGUUAGCAAGAAACAAAGGGUAUAAGCAUUGCUAUUAUUAGAACUAAGAAGAUUAAGAGUCAAAAUAAAACAAGAAAAAUCAAAUUGGUAAACGAAAUGAAGAGAAAAGAAUGAACAAAUGCAAAAGCCUGGUAGAGGGAGGAGUUUGGGUCGUCGAUGGUAGUGUUGUGGUCGACGCACGGGCGUGGCAGGAAGGGCGUACGAAGGAGUUGCUGUGGCUAGGGUUAGAGAUUUUAGGGAAGGGGAUGAUGAAUAGUGAGGGGUUUAUAUAGAUUUUGGGGCACACGGUAAUGUGUUUCAGGAUUUUUAAAUUUGAGCGCGUCUGGAAUUCGUCCCACGCUCGUGUUCUUUGGGCAUGUUGGUUCACACGGCCGUGUCGCACGGCCGUGUCCUACUUCGUUCACUUCUCUUACACUCGCAUUCAAAUGCGCACGCCUGUGUUGGUUUGACAGUGUCGACCACGGGUGAUAGGCACGGGUAUGUCGCACGUCCGUGUUAAUUUCUCAGUGUCAACCACGGCUUCAAGACAUGGGCGUGUGGCACUCACGUGUUGUUUUGACAGGUUCGCCCACGGCUACAUCCCAUGCCCAUGGCAAUUUAUCGCAUCUCCGUGUUGGGGAAAAACUUUGCCUUGGUUUUACAUGGCCGUAUCGUAUGUCCGUGUCUCCUUCCGGUGUGAGCACGGCCUAAGACACGCCCGUGUACCUGGCGGUGUUGUUUUGUUACUCGGCUUGCCUCCCAAGAAGCACUUAUUCAGAGUCUAAGCUCGACUUGCCUCUCUUUUGCAUGGCCAGGGUGGUGCGAGGAGUUUACUCUCCUCGUUCCUGCUAUCAAUUUCAUCAAAAUAAGGUUUUAGAUAGGUACUAUUUACCUUAAAAGUUCCAAAUUUGGGGUGAAUUACCUCAACUGUACCGUAUGGAAAAAUGCUGAGUACCAUAAGAGGGAUUGCUCCGUUAGGUCCAGGAGUGGCAAUAUAAGGGUCUGCUGCAUCUAGUAGUACUUUGUCUCCAACCUUAAGUUGAUUUGGUGAAAUAUUGAGCUCGUCAUGGCGUGGUUUUGGUUUAUCGUGUGUCCUUAGUUUAUGUGUUCGCCAUUCAUCUAGUUCCUCGAUUUGUAGCCUUCGUUCUUCAUAGAUGGAUUCUUUGUUGUUACUUGAAUAAGGCUCAUGUGUGCUCUUCGAACGUGUUUCCUGUAAAGAAGGUUGCACCACAUGGUUAGUAUUAGUAGGAUUACGAGCUUGAAGAGUAAUUGAGUCAUCACCCACACGAAGUAUGAGUUCACCUGUACCAACAUCAAUAACAGUUCUAGCAGUUGCUAAAAAGGGCCUUCCUAGAAUUAGAGGUGCGUCACUACCCUCUUCUAUGUCUAGAACAACAAAAUCAAUUGGGAAUAUAAAUUCAUCAAUUCUUACAAGUAUCUUCAAUGAUACCUCUAGGAAAUCUGAUAGUUUUAUCAAUUAACUGAAUACUCAUCCUAGUUUGUUUGGGUUUCGCAAGACCUUGUUGUUUAAACGUUUUGUAGGGCAUGACGUUAAUACUAGGCCCUAAAUCAGCCUAAGAAUUUUUAACAUUUAAGCUACCAAUUAAAUAGGGAAUCGUAAAACUCCCUGGAUCUUUCAAUUUGUUGGCCAGCUUGUUCUAUAGAAUGGCUGAGAAAAUUGCAUUUAACUCCACAUGCGAUGCCUCAUCCAACUUCUAUUUAUUUGCUAAAAGCUCCUUUAAGAAUUUGACUGCGUUUUGCAUCUCCGAAAGAGCUUUAAUAAACGGUAAGCUAAUGUGUAAUUUCUUUAAUAGUUUAAGGAAUUUACCAAAUUGUUCAUCUGUGCAGUCUUUCCUUGUCGCAUUAUGUUAUGGCACUCGUGGUUUGUACUCUUUACUUACCGGUUUUUGCUCACUGUGGUCUACCUCGCCUUUACCUUUACUUACCACAAUUUCUUGCCUCGGUUCUGGUUCAGGUUCAACUAACCCUUCCUCGUCUUGGAUGGUAAUUGCAUUAAGUUGUUCCCUUGGGUUAGAUUCAGUGUUACUCGGUAGGCUACCUUGUGGUUGUUCAGAAAUCAAUUUGGUGAGUUGGCCUAUCUGAAUUUCAAGCCCUUGGAUCGAUGCCUGUUGAUUCUUAAGUGUUGUUUCUAUAUUUUGAAAGCGAGUUUCCAACACCGAGAUAAACUUUGUUAGCAUCUCCUCAAGGUUCAUCUUCUUUUCCUGUUGGUAAGGUGGUUGUUGAAAGACUGGAGGUGGUGGUGGUCCCUGAUUCCCUUGGCCUCCCCAUGAGAAAUUUGGGUGGUUCCUCCAUCCUGCAUUGUAAGUGUUACUAUAAGGAUUAUUUUGAGGUCGAGGAUUAUUACCAUAUAAUUUAAUUGCUCAUUUUCCAUGAUGUGGCCAUAAGGUGGGUAUUCUGAAUUGCUCGUCUCUCCUCCACUUGCAUUGCAUUGCAUUAUUGGAUGAACCUAUGAAGAAGCAAGAAAACCGUUAAUUUUUCUAUUCAAAAGUUCUACCUGAUUAGAGAGUAUGGUGACCGAAUCGACGUUAAAAACGUUGGCCGCUAUCAUUGGCUUUGUCUUCAUGACUUGCCACUGAUAAUUAUUCAGUGACAUCUCUUCUAUAAAUUCAUAAGUAUCCUCAGGUGUCUUAUUAUUGAUAGUCCCACCAGCGGCUGCGUCAACCAUCUGUCUAGUUGAAGGAUUCAGGCCAUUGUGAAAAGUUUGAACCUGUAGCCAGAAUGUAGCCCAUGGUGAGGGCACCUUCUCAACAGAUCCUUGUAUCUCUCCCAUGCAUUGUAGAGUCCUUCUAGAUCUAUCUGCACAAAAGAAGACAUGUCAUUCUUCAACUUAACCGUUUGAGCUGGUAAAAAAUAUUUAAGUAAAAACUUUUUGGUCAUUUAUUCCCAAGUAGUGAUUAACCCUCGUGGUAACGGGUUCAACCACUGUUUAGCUUUGUUCCUCAGCGAAAAGCUAAACAACCGAAAGCGUAUGGCUCCGUCAGAAACGCCAUUGAUUUUAAAUGUGUCGCAAAACUCCAGAAAAUUUGCCAAGUGAUUAUUUGGAUCCUCAUCCUGCAAACCAUCAAACUGAACAAAUUACUAUAUCAUUUGAAUCGUGUUAGGUUUCAGUUCAAAAUUAUUUUCAGCAAUAGCAGGCCUAACUAUACAUGACUCAGUUCCUGUUAAAUUCGGUUUAGCAUAAUCAUACAUAGUGCGCAGAGCAGGAUUCUGAUUUACUGGAUCAGCAGCAACCGUAGGAGGUAGCGGAUUUUCUUGAUUUUCAGCCAUCUCCUCAGUUGUGGUUUGAAUAUCAUCCUCUUGCUCUUCCUCUGUGUAUCUUAAGCUUCGCCUUAUUUCUCUUUGGUUUCUACGAGCUGUGCAAUCGAUCUCACUAUCAAAAAGUAAUGUUCCCAACGGGUUUCUUCUAGUAAUACAUUAUAAAAAAACCUGCCAGAAGUGAAUAAAAGAGAAAAUUAGAAAAGAAAAUAAAAAUUUAAAUUGCAAUAAAAAAUAAAAUGGCUAAAGUAAAAAAAAUCGAGUGUUCCUAAUAUCUUAGUUCCCUGGAAACGACGCCAAAAACUUGAUAUGCUUGUCGCGAUAAGUUUUAAAAUUUAUAAUUAAUCGUUCUUGAAACUAACUAUUAUCACGAUGAAGGCAAGUGUACCUAUCGAACAGUAGUAUAGCUUUAGCGAGACAGGAUUGUUGAACCCAAAGGAACCAAGAGUAGUAGUAAUUACUUUCUUUUUAUUAUCUAACCUAAAAGUUAAGGGAUUUGUUUAUCUACACUAAUUACCUAAACUAAGGGUGCAUAGAGAGAAAAUUGGGGAAAAAGUUUUGGGAAAACUCGAUUGAUUAAGACAAUACCCAAGGAAAAAUCCACCUAGACUUCACUUGUUAUUUGACUCUAAAUUAGAAGAUUUAUUCAUUUGACUUGAUCCGUAGAAAUCCCUAAGUUAUAUUAUUGUCUCUCUCGAGACUAAUAACGUCUAACCCUAGGUUGAUUAAUUGAAAUCUCUUUCUAAUUAUCACCCUAGUAUUGCAUUAACUCGAUCUAUGGACUCCCUUAUUAGGUUUCACCCUAAUCCAGCAAAAUCUUGUCACCCUAUCUCUAGGCGUGCAAUCAACUCCGCUUAAUUACGAUAAAUUUACUCUUAGACAGGGACUUUUGCUCCUCUAAAUAAGUGCAUUACCUUGAAUCAAUAUCCUGGAAUAUUAAAACAAGAUUUAAGAACACAUAAUUAAGAACAAAUCAAAUAUUUAUCAUACAAUUCAGAUAAUAAUAACAAGAUCCGUCUUAGGUUUCAUUCCCCUUAGGUAUUUAGGGGGUUUAGUUCAUAAUGAUGAAAUGAAACAUCUCAAAAGAAUAAAGAUAACAAAACAUAAAGAAAACCUAAAACUCCUGAAGGAAAUUGAAGGAGAUCCUCAGUCUUGAUGAUGAAUCCAGCUUCUAAAAAGGAUCAAUCAGCUUUCCUUAAGUAAUUUCUUGCCUCCCACUCUAUGUAUCGCUUCUAAGUGCCUCCUCAGGUGUUUAAAUAGGCUUUAGAAUGCCUAAAAGCCCUCAAGAAUGGCUUUUUUUGAAUAGAACUAAACUUGGGCUCGACAGGGACACGCCCGUGUGCGAUUUCUUCAAUCCGUGUUAAAGGCUGUUACAUAGGCACGGGUGUGUGGUCUACCCGUGUGAGGAAGUCCAGGCCAUGUUGAUUUCCCAUGUUGGUCUAUUUUCUCCAUUUUCAGCCUGUUUCUCGCUCUUUUUACUCUCCUAUGCUCACCUAAGUAUAAAACAUGAAAUUAAAGGAUUUGGAGCAUCGAAUUCAUCAAAUCUAAGGAUAAUUCAUCCAAAAAUGUGCUAAGUAUGGGAUAAAAAUAUGUAUAAAUUACGGUUUAUCAUUCGGCUACUACCAGCUGCGAGUAAAAGAGUCGGAUGUACCUAAGACUGCUUUCAGAACAAGGUAUGGCCAUUAUGAAUUUCUUGUGAUGCCUUUUGGGUUAACAAAUGCACCAAAUAUGUUUAUGGACUUGAUGAAUAGAAUCAUUCGGUCAUACUUAGACAAAUUUAUUGUUGUGUUUAUUGAUGAUAUCCUGAUUUAUACCAAGGAUGAGACCAAACAUGCCGAGCAUUUGAGGACUGGUUUUUAGACUUUGCGAGACAAGCAACUUUAUGCUAAAUUUAGCAAGAGCGAGUUUUGGCUCCGAGAGGUAAGAUUCUUGGGUCACAUUGUUUUGGGUGAAGGCAUCCGAGUUGAUCCAAAUAAGAUAUAUGCUAUUGUCGAGUGGAAGUCACCAAAGAACGUAAUCGAGGUUAGAAGCUUUUUGGGCUUAGUCGGUUACUAUCAACACUUUGUGAAAGGAUUUUCGAUGAUUGCAACUCAUUUGACGAGGUUGCUGUAAAAAGAUGUUAAGUUUGAAUGGUUAGAAAAGUGUCAGCAUUGUUUCGAGAAAUUGAAUACGUUUCUAACUGAAGCUCCAGUUUUAGUGCAACCCGGCCAGGAAAAGAAUUCAUAGUCUGUAGUGAUGCAUCCUUGAACGGAUUAGGUUGCGUGCUUAUGCAAGAGGGAAAAGUAAUAGCCUAUGCUUCGAGGUAACUAAAGCCGUAUGAGAAAAAUUAUCCAACACAUGACUUGGGGUUGGCUGCCAUUGUAUUUACCUUGAAAAUUUGGAGACACCAUUUGUAUGGUGAAACUUGCGGUGUAUUCACCGAUCAUAAGAGUUUGAAGUACUUGAUGACUCAAAAGAAAUUGAAUAUGAGAUAGCGGAGAUGGUUAUAUUAUGAGCUGAUAAUUGAUUAUCACCCGGGAAAGGUGAAUGUGGUCGUCGAUGCUUUGAGUAGGAAGUCCUUGUUUGUGUUGAGGGCUAUGAACACACGAUUGGCGUUGUCCGAUGAUGGUUCAGUUUUGGCAGAGUUAACAGCCAAACUGACAUUCCUAUAAGAAAUUCGCGCAGCUCAGAUCAAUGAUAGUGAUUUACAGGCCAAGAUAGCACAAUGUGAGACAGGUGUUGAGUCAGAUUUUUGGGUUGACUCUAAUGAUUGUUUGAUGUUUCAAGAUAAGGUCUGUGUACCUAAAGAUGAUGAACUUAUUUAAAAAUUUUACAAGAAGCACAUGAUAGUCGUCUGUCUGUUCAUUCGGGAAGCACCAAGAUGUACAAUGAUUUAAGGAAAAUGUACUGGUGGAAUGGCAUGAAAAGAGACAUCUUUGAAAAUGUUUGAUAUGUCAACAGGUCAAGGCUGAAAACGAAGUACCUUCGAGUUUGUUACAACCUGUGAUGGUACUCGAAUAGAAGUGGGACAGGAUUACCAUGGAUUUUGUGGUUGGAUUGCCGGUAACUCUGAAAAAGGAAGAUGUUGUAUAGGUUAUAGUUGACAGACUAACGAAGUUGGCUCACUUCAUUCCAACACAGGCUGAUUACUCUCUUGAUAAACUGGCCGACUUGUACAUUUUCAAAAUUGUGAGAUUACACGGAUACCAUUAUCGAUUAUUUCAGAUAGGUACCCAAGAUUCACUUCGAGAUUUUAGAAGAAGCUACAAGAAGCCUUGGGUACAAAGUUGAGUUUUAGUACGGCAUUCCACCCACAGACUGAUGGUUAGUCUGAGUGAACGAUUCAAACUCUCGAGGACAUGUUACGGUGUUGCAUCCUUGAAUUCCAAGAUAGUUGGGAAAAAUACUUACCUUUGGUGGAAUUUGCCUACAACAACAAUUUUCAGACCAGUUUAAAAAUGGCACCUUAUGAGGCAUUAUUGGCCGGAAGUGCUGAACUCCACUGUAUUGGACAGAGCUCAAGGAAAUUCAGAUUCAUGGAGUUGAUUUAGUCAAGGAAACUAAAGAAAAGAUUAAAGUGAUACGGGACUAUCUGAAAGCGACAUCGGAUAGGUAAAAGUCAUAUGUUGAUUUGAAGAGAAAAGAGAUUGAGUUUCAAGUUAGAUAUAAAGUAUUCUUGAAAGUGUAUCCAUGGAAAAAUGUCUUAAGAUUUGGUUUAAAGGGAAAACCGAGUCCAAGGUUUAUCGGACCAUAUGAGAUUAUUGAGAAAGUUGGACCGUUAGCCUAUUGAUUAGCAUUGCCUUCCAAAUUGGAAAAUAUUCAUGAUGUAUUCCAUGUGUCCAUGUUGCGUAGAUAUAGAUCAGACCCCUCACAUGCGAUUUCACCAACGGAAGUUGAGAUUAGACUGGACAUGACUUAUGGUGAAGCACCGGACAAGAUUUUAGCUCGAGAAGUCAAACAGUUAAGGAAUAAAAAUAUAGCCUUAGUGAAAGUCUUAUGGCAUAGAAAUGGGGUGGAAGAAACCACAUGGGAACCUGAAGAAGUCAUGAGAAUUCUAGAUCCGAACCUGUUUACUAGUAAGACUUUCGAGGACGAAAGUCCUUUAGGGGGGAGAAAUAUAACGUCCCAAAAUUGGGCCUAGUCAGAAUAGUAGUUUUAGGACCAUAAAUCAGACAAUUAAAUAUUUGUUUUAUGAUUAUUAUGAGGUCUAGGAUAUGAAAAUAAGUAUGUCUUAAAGUUUCAUGAAGAAGUUCUAAGUAUAAGGUGUCCAAUUGGUAAUUAGGGACCAAAUUGAAUAAGUUCUUAAAUUUUGGUUCUAGAAGAAAUUUUUAUGAAAUUGCUCUGAAUUAUUAAUUAGAAGGUCUUAAAGAGUAAUUUUCUCAAUUUCUAAGCUUUUGGACAAAAAUGGGCAUGCAUGGAAAAUUUUGAAAGGUUAUUAAGGUAGGGCAUUAUGGUCAUUUGGUAAUAAACUAAAUAAAAAGGGGAAAUGAAAGCAAAAAUCAGCCAUUUUUCUUCUCCAUGCUGCCGAAAAUUGAAGGGUCUCCAUAGCUAGGGUUUUCAACAUUUUCAAGCUCAAUAGUAAGUACUCCCUAGCCCCGUUUUUAACAUUCUUCGAAUUUUUGAGAUCUUCGUAACAAGCUUUCUCUAUUUUUACCCAUUUUUCAAGCUAGGGUUCAUGUUUAGAAAUUUACCCAUGCAUAAGAUGCUUGUGUUUUGAUGAUUUGUGGAGGAAUAUGAGAUUUUAGAGGACGGUAAACAACUUUUACUAAAUAGUUUUUCAUAGAAAUAGCUUGAGGGACCAUUUUGUAAAAGUUGUGAAAAUGGGUAGAAAAAUUUGAAAUGAAAGAAAAUGUAGGCUGCUAUAGCAAGAAAAAUAUUCGGCUAGGCUUGGAUAACCUGGAAAUUUCAUGCAUUUCAUUAUACGAGCCUAGGGACUAAUUUGUAAAAGUGUGAAAGGUUAGGGGCAAAAUGGUCAAUUUCCCCUAGUAUGAGUUUUAGGACGAAAAUGAACAUUGUAAGUAUUAAUAAUUUAUUUUUACUGAUAUAGACCCCGAGGAACCAAUUCCGGAGGUCGACCGUGGAAAACGAAAGGUUUCGGAAUAACUGAAAUAAUAACCUGAAGCAAUUACCAGGUAAGUUCGGGUAACUCGAAGUAAACUCUUAAUAUACACAAAAUGUAUAAAUAUAUAUAUGAAUGUAUGACAAUUUAAACAUUCGUUACAUGAUAAUCCAUGAAAUAUGGUAGUAUAGUUUAAAAGGGAAUUGAAGUUCCCAAUUGAAAUAAAAGGAUAUCUGAUGGGUUUCUCGAAAUGAAUUGAUGGUAAAAAGGAUCUAGCCCAGAUGGGUGUUCCUUUUAUGAUCGAGCCUCCCGAAGAAGAAGUUUGUUGAAAUGGAUUUAGCCCGGACGGGUAAUCUGAUUAGGGUCUGAAUUUAGCAUGGAUUGGUAGUUCAGACUUGAGCACAUUAGAGUACAUGUCAUAGUAAAGGAUUUAGCCUAGACCGGUAAUCUUGACAUUACUCUAUGAGUUUACAUUAUGGGGGAUUUAACCUGAACUGGUAAUCCCACCGCAAGAGUGAGGUUCACGGGAGUGCGUAUUUUAAAUGAUCACUUACACGAUUUGACAGUAAAUGAGAUAUCCAUUGAGAUUCUGAGAGGUUCAAUGGGAUUAAAAUGAGGAACGAAAAUAGAAAUGCUUGAAUUGAUGAGCUCAUCUAAGACUAAUGCUUUAAUGUUCUUGCACGAGACUAACUUGAUGGUUGAGUGUAUGUGAUACGAAAAUCAUACUAUGCAUGUCUGAUAUGAAUAACCAUUACGGACGUAUGCUAAAUAAUCGAUAAGUUUACCUUCCUGUUAUUCGAACUUACUAAGCAUAUGAAUGCUUACCCACUUUCAUUUCCCUUGUCUUACAAAGCUGAAGGACUCAUGAAGAUUGGAAGAUAAUUAGAGCAUUGUCAAUACUAUCAACAUGUCUUACUUUGGUAUAUAGAAACUUUUAUUUUGUUAUAAUGGCAUGUAUAGGAUUUUUGGUCAUUUUGUUUUAUGUGUCAUUUGGCUAGCCAAUGUUAGGGCUUAAAUGAUAUGCUUAUUCAUUUUGUAUAUGGCCAUGAGAUAUGGUCCAUAUUGAUGUAGGUUGUAAAUUUACUAAUUGUACAUGUAUAUGCUUGAAUGUUUCAUGAGAUGGUUAAUGUAGUAUACCAUGAAUGGAUAUGUGUAAUGUGGCCAAAUCACUCGAAGAUGGUUUAGGUCAUAAUUGGCAUGAUUCAUGAAAUGAACUAAGUAUAUAAUAUGAUUUGUAAAAUGGUAACCCUAAAAUGAAAAGGGUACUAUCAAUAUAGGCUAAGAAGAGACUUGAAGCAACAUGCAUGACCUUGGUUAAGAAGGUUUUAAAGGUACAUUUGUACCAUAAUAGAUGUCCAGAUGGGUAGACACACGGGCAUGUGUCUAGGCCGUGUGUGACACACGGUCAGUUCCCAUGGGCAUUUUGUAUAGCCGUGUGUCCCCUGCACCUAGUAUUUUAGGUCAAUAUGCAUGAUAGUAAACACACAGGUAGAGACAUGGCCAUGUGUCUCAACCAUGUUGAGGACACGGCCUAGCACACGGGCGUGUGCCUUGGCCAUGUGCCCUUAGACGGAUGACGAUGUCAUAAACAAAAUGUCCAUGUUUUUGGACAUAGGCGAUCACACGGUUGUGUCUAGGCCGUGUGAGGGACACGGGCGUGUGCUUGGCCAUGUAAAAACCCCUGUAGGUUUGAAAUGGAAAAUAAAUUUCAAUAAGUCGACACGGGUAAGGGACACGGGCAUGUCCCAAUGCACACGAGCUGUGCAUUGCCUCCGCACGGGUGUGUGAGGUUUAAACCUAGAAAUUUUUCUAAAAUUUUCUUGAUUUCUCAGUUUAUUCCCAGGUCACUUUAAUGUAUGUUUUUGACCUCGUAGGUCCAUAAUAGAGACAAUAUGAUUUUGUUUGAUUGGUUUUAAAUUGGAAUGAAAUUUGAUAUCUCGUAUUUUUUGGAAAUGCCCUGUUUUUGUACGGUAAUACCUCAUACCUAGUCCCGGUCUUGGGUAGGGUAAGGGGUGUUACACCUUCUGCAAUUGAACAAACUCAGAAAUGUACAAUUUAGCUAGUCUAUCAAGUGAGUAAUAUGUAUGUAUCGGUAUGAAAUGAGCAGAUUUCAUUUGUCGAUCAAUGACAACCCAGAUAGCAUCUUUUUUUUUGGGAGUUAGGGGCAAUCCCGACACAAAAUCCAUUGUAACACUACCCCAUUUCCACUCAAGGAUCAUCAUAGGCUGCCGUAAACCUGAAGGUACUUAAUAUUCAGCUUUGACUUGCUUACAAAUCAAACAUUUAGAAACAAACUCUGAGAUAUCUUGUUUCAUGGCUUGCCACCAAUAAAACUAUUUCAAAUUGUUGUUCAUUUUGGUACUCGUCAGAUGAACCGAUAAGCAGCUAUUGUGCACUUUGUGCAAAUUCUAUUCCGGAACCUUAAACAAUCAUCGGUUCCAAUCUGAAACUCUGAAUUAGGGAUAGUCUCACAUUGAAUUCAUUGAACUUACAAUUCACGGACUUCUUUUUGAACUUCACAGAUUUAUUGAAGAAAUACCGAUUUAGCUUUUAAUUCAGCUAAAAUAGACCCAUCAUCACAAAUCAUCAAUUGGGUAUUCAUUUCUCGUAAUGCAACCAAAGAUUUUUGGCUCAGGGCAUUAGCAACAACGUUAGCUUUUCCCGAGUGAUAAUCAAUCACAAAUUAAUAGCCUCUCACUAACUUGAGUCAUCUUCGUUGUCGUAGAUUCAAAUCUUUCUAUGAGAUUAGAUAUUUUAAGCUUUUGUGAUCCGUAUAAAUGUGCCAUUUUUCACCGAAUAAGUAGUGUCACCAAAUUUUCAAUGCAAAAAAAUUGCAGCCAACUUUAAGUUGUGCGUCUGAUAGUUCUUUUGAUGCGGUUUCAAUUUUUAGGAAGCAUAAGCUAUAACUUUUCCUUCUUGCAUCAAAGCACAUCCCAAACCAUUUAAUGACACGUCACUAUAAAUCAAAAAUUCUUUCCCCAAUUCAGGUUAAACCAGAACUGGUGCUUCAGUUAACAAUAAUUUCAACUAUUCGAAACUCUGCUGACAUUUUCCUAACCAUUCGAAUUUCACUUCUUUUUGAAGCAGUCAUUUCAUCGGUGUCGCAAUCAUCAAAAAUCCUUUCACGAAUCUUCGGUAAUAGCCCGCUAAGCCCAAAAAACUCUGGACUUCAGACACUUUUCUCAGAUGUUUCCAGUCAACAAUAGCAGAAAUCUUACUCGAGUCAAAUCUAAUACCUUCAACUGAAACAAUAUGCCCCAAAAAUCCAACCUCUCGGAGCCAAAAGUCACAUUUGCCGAACUUUGCAAAUAAUUGAUUUUCACAUAGAGUUUGUAAUACAAUUCUCAAGUGCUCGGUAUUUUUAGAUUCAUCUCGCGAAGAGAUCAGAAUGUCAUCAAUGAAUACAACAAUGAAUCUGUCUAAAUACGGUCUGAAUAUCUGAUUCAUCAAGUCCAUAAAAACUGCAAGAGCAUUAGUUAAUCUGAAAGGCAUAACAAGGAAUUCAUAAUGUCCGUAUCUCAUUCUAAAUGCAGUUUUCGGUACAUCCGACUCAUUAGCUCGUAACUAAUAAUAACCCGAUCUCAAAUCAAUCUUUGAAAAUACUGUAGCUCCUUUCAAUUGAUCAAAUAAAUCAUCAAUCCACGGUAGAGGAUAUUUGUUCUUUAUAGUCACUUUAUUCAGCUGUCUAUAAUCGAUACACAUUCUCAUCAUGCCAUCUUUCUUCUUUACGAACAACACCGGUGCACCCUAGGGCGAAUAACUCGGUCACAAAAAACCUCAGUCUAUCAUUCUUGCAACUAUGCUUUCAACUUUUUUAUUUCUGUUAGAGCCAUUUUGUACGGAGCUAUUGAUAUCAAUGUUGUUCAGAAAUACUAAUUCAAUACCAAAUUCAACUUCUUUGAUCGGUGGCAAACCCGAUAAUUCUUUUGGAAAUACAACCAAAAACUCACAAAUAACAGGUACAGCUUCAAUCUUUGAUUCAGACACCGUUGUAUCCAGUACAUAUGCAAGAUAUGCAUCAUAGCCCUUUUUCAUAUAUUUCUGAGCUAACAUAGAUGAUGUCACAGUAGGUAAUUACUUGACUCAUCAGACUCAAUCCGAAGAAUUUCACCGUUCUGACAUUUCAAUUCGAUAAUCUUUCGUCUACAAUUCACAACUGCAUCAUGCAUAGUCAGCCAGUCCAUACCCAGAAUCACAUCAAACUUAUCGAGCGGUAGAAACAUCAACUCAACUGGAAAACGGUAACCCCAAGUCAUCAAGGGACAAUUCUUACAAAUUUUAUCAACUAAAAUAGACUUGCCUAAGGGGUUAGAUACUCUAAUUACAAACUCUGUAGACUCGACAGGUAAACUCUUUUUAAAUACUAAAUUCAUACAGAUAUAUGAAUGGGUUGAUCCAAGAUCUAUCAAUGCAACUAUAUUAGUAGCUGUAAUAACGUCCGGCGAUGAUGCCUCCUCCCGUGCAUGGAUAACAUAAGCUCGGGCAGGUGCUCAUGCCUCAGAUCUUACAAAAGAAUCUCUUGUAGCACCUCGAUUACCACUCGUAUUUCCAGUGUUUCAAGGUGGUCUCCCUCUAGUAGUCGUAUUACUUGGUUUCACCAGUUGAUCUCUUUCAGCCAUAGACUUUUCUAGACAAUCCCGGAGAUAAUGAUCAAGAGAUCCACAUCUAAAACAAGCUCUACUCAUUAUUCUACCUUCAUUGUAAUGUAUCUUAUUGCAGUGCUUACAUUCAGGUCCAACAUUUCUAAUACAACCCACACUAGCAACAGAUGUCGUCUAUGGUUUAGAGCUGAACUGUCUCGCAUCUCUAUCUUUGAUCGAAAUCUGCGCAAAAGCAAUAGAACGAGGAUGAUAUUUUCUAGAUUUCUUUGAUGCUGAUUGAUGUGAUUUUCCCACAAAUCUCUUUCUAAAGUCUCUAGCCUCAGAAUCGGCUUUUCUUUCCUCUUUGCUAAGCUCUUUGGCUUUGCAAGCUCUGCCAACUAAGACGACAAACUCUUUCAGCUCAAAAAUCCCAACUAACAGUUUGAUUUCUUUGUUUGAUCCAUCUUCGAACCUUUUACACAUUAUAGCCUUGGAAGAAACACAUUCACGAGCAUAUUUUCUGAGUCGUACCAACUCUUUUUCGUAUUCUGUUACCAACAUACGACCUUGUUUCAAUUCAAGAAAUUCCUUUCAUUUCUGAUCAAUGAACCAUUGGCUGAUGUAUUUCUUUUUGAAUUCAACUUGAAAGAAUUCUGAAGUAACUCUUUCUCGCGGAACUACGGAUACCAAGGUAUUCCACCACUGAUACACAAUGUCUCUCAAUAGUGAUACAACAUAUUUUAAACAUUCUUCAGCCAAAACUCAAGCCAAAACUCAGCUCUCUCAGGGUCAUCGUUAACAGUGGCUCUAAAUUCCUCAGCCUCGUGUUUUCGUAUCAAAUAAAUAGGUGGUUUAUUCAAUCGCAAAGGAUCCAUACCUUGAGGAACUACAGGGAUCAGUUGGGGAAUAGGUGGGGGUGGAGGUUGUUGAGCAACCGGGUUCACACGAAUGUAUUGAGUGAACCACUCGUUCAUCAUUUGAAAGAAUGCUUCUUUAGCCUCACCACUGUGACUACCCGACACGGGUCUACAUUUUCUCAAUUCAAGCAUUCAUCAUUCAAUCUCAAUUCAAGCAUUAAGCAUUCAAUGUCAAUCAAUUUGUCCCUUAUACGAACCUACGAGGCCCUAAACAUGCUCUGGGAGUGAUUCAGGACUAAAUCGAUAACUAAAAAAUCUUUUACAAAACUAAGAAAAUUUUUUUUCAAAACAAGGGACACACAUUCGUGUGGCUAGGCCGUGUGUCUCACACGGCCACCAGACACGCCUGUGUCACAAGUCGUGUGGACAUUCAAAAUGAGAGUGCAUGGCCAUAACCCAGCCCGCGUCUGACCCCGUGUAACUCUCUGACUUGAGUCAUACAGCCAACACACACGCCCGUGUGCCCUAAAAAUGGCCAUACAUGCCUGUUUGCCAGGUCGUGUACUAGGCCGUGCCAAACCUGUAGGGUAUACUAACUUAUACCACAAAGCCAAGUCACAAGCCCGUGUGUGAGACCGUGUGGAGCAUACUGACUUGAUUUUAAUUUCAACACCAGGGGACACACGACCGUGUAACAUAACCGUGUGUCAUAGACGACUGAGACACACGCCGUGUCUCUGCCCGUGAGGACAAAAAUAGGCUAUUUAGUAAGCCAAUUUGCCACCCUAUUUUUAAAUACCUACACAAGCAUAAAUUACAACAUUUUAUAACUCAAUAGGCAGCUAAUCCAUAACAUUUCAUACACAUAUUAUAUCGAUUCAACUACAAUCAUUUCUAAAUUCACUAUUCAAACACUAUAACCAACUGAACAUGGUAUUCAAACACCUAAAUUAUAACCAAGCAUUUUCCAUUUAUGCCUAUGAAGUAUUAAGAAAACAUUUUCAUAUUUCCACCAUUUACUACUUGCCAAACAUACCAUAUUGAAUAGUUAUACACAACCAAAGUAUUACACCAAGUUAAGCCAAAUCACAUGGCUUUAUCUUAUAUCACAACAUGUACCAAAAUCACUAGCUCAAGUAACCAUAACUAUCAUCUUUAUAACUAGCCUAUACAUGUCAUAUUGACAUAUAUCCAUGAGUUCAAAGGUACCAAUCAGCAACUGGAUAGUGUGAUGCAUAUUUUUGACUUUAUCCGAAUAGAGCGAGCUAUCGAACCUCUAUAAAACACGAAAUAGAAAUAGAGUAAGCUUUAUAGCUUGUAAGCUCGUAUAAUUCAGAAUUAAACUUACCAUUUAUACAUAAUCAAGACCAUAAAUAAGGUAUACUGAAUUCAAUUACCAAAUGCCUAAACACAAGCAUCCAUCAACGAGUUAGUCACAUAAGUGCAUGUAAUCAUCCAUUAUCUCAAUUUAAUACUCAAUACAUUGUAUCAUAUCAAAUUUAUAUAUCACAUACAUCAUUUAUAACAUUUCACUCUCAAUUAUAUAAACAAUAAUUCAUUUGAUAACAGUAACUCAUCCGUAUAAACACAUAGCUUUUUCACAUAACCAAUAACAAAAUUUAUUCUCGUUGAACCUAUUAGAAUAUUGAGGUAUACUAGGAUGAUAUACAUUACGUAUAUAAAUCAAUAAUCUAUUAAUUCAUUAUCAUUUCUGCUCUUUCGAGCUAUGAUCAGUAAGCUCCUAUAGAGUUGAUGGGCAGUAAGCUCUAAUGAGCUGAAAACAGUAAGCUCUAUUAGGAGCUGAUAUAUUGGUAAGCUCAAAUGAGCUGUGGUGAGUCCACAACACAUACAGGAUCUUGAUUAAGAUGGUAACCCUAAUGACAUAUUAUUCGUAUCCUACAACUUUCUACGAUUCAAACGAAACUCGGUAUUCAAGAAUUCUCAUCAAUUAGGCAUUCGAACUUAGUAAUACCAUUUACUCAAUUAUACUUUUAUUUAAAAUAAUUUACAAUUAUUUAAAAAUUUGAUUCUAAUUAUACAAACUUACCUCGAGUUGCUCGGAUGGAAAUGAUUGACUAUUCGUCCUCUUUUCCUUUUCCCCGAUCUAAUCCUGAUCUCAGCUUAUCUUGAACUAUAUAUAAUUAGAUUUAGCACAUUCAACAUUCGGUCUAUUCAAUUUACCCUAUAUUUUACAAUUUAACUAUUUACACAUUUGCCUCUAAUGUUUCACAUUUUUACAAUUUAGUCCGUAUCACAUAAAAUUGCAAAUUCAUGCAAUUUAGUACAAACCCAUGCUUAGCUGAAUUAAAUACAUGUUACUAGAUGCCCAUAUUUUUUAUUUAUUCACACUUUUAACCACCACAUUUCACAUUUUUUCAAUUUAAUCCCUUUUUUAACAUUUUUGUCAAAAAUCACUUUACAAAAGCUAUUAAUCUAACAUUAAACCUUCCAAAUCUAUCAUAAACCAUCAUAUUACUCAAGUAUUCAACAAUGGAAACAUGAUAAAUCUUUAACAAUUUCAAAAUUUAGGGCACGGGCUUGCUAUAAUACAAAGCAACGAUCUUAAAAACAUAAAAAUCAUUAAAAACCGAGCAAAAAACGGACUUACAAUUAAGCUAGGAGUUGGCUGAAUGCUUCAAGCCCUAAAUGGCUUUUUCCUUUGUUAAAUUCCGCUAUUAGCAUGAAGAUGGAAAAAAAUUAUGAAUUUUUUUUUGUUUUAAUUCACCUUUAUUAACUAAUUUACUUAUUUGACCUUUAAAACAUUUAAUAAUUACACCAAUUGCCUUGCCACUAUCAUCCACUAACUCUCAAAUGGGUUAAUUACCACUUAAGGACCAUUAUUUUAAGGUUUUAUAGCUAUUAGACACCUUUAGCUAAUAGAACAUCAUUUUUG
rnacentral:lncRNA from 1 species